UGGAUAACCACUUGACGUGAUGCUAAUCCCGACUUCUGUGCAUAUUUUAUCUUUCUGGACUGUUUUGUAGUAUUACGGUUGCUUCAUAACUAUUCUCAAGUAUUAAUGUAUUCAGGCUAUGAAAAACCAGUACUUGGUUGCAGCUUUAUAAUCGUAGGGAAUUGCCAUUGGUGUUAAUUGAUUCUGCAACCAUUCUUCUAGUGUUCAAUCUACUAGAUGUCAUCGUUUAUGCUGAGCUAAUAUUUAAUCCUCUCAUCAAAUAUUCUUUGAUCUGUCCUCUUGUUCUUGAUAUGAAUAUGCUUCUCGAAGUACUGGUUCCUGCAUUCAUGAAGAAGUAAGUUUUUUGUUGCUCUUUUGACCGCCGUAA
rnacentral:misc_RNA from 1 species